rnacentral:rRNA from 1 species
CUACGGGCGGCUGCAGUGAGGAAUAUUGCACAAUGGGGGGAACCCUGAUGCAGCAACGCCGCGUGGAGGAUGACGCAUUUCGGUGUGUAAACUCCUUUUAUAUGUCAAGAAAAUGACGGUAGCAUAUGAAUAAGCACCGGCUAACUCCGUGCCAGCAGCCGCGGUAAUACGGAGGGUGCAAGCGUUACUCGGAAUCACUGGGCGUAAAGGACGCGUAGGCGGGUUGGAAAGUCAGGUGUGAAAUCCUACAGCUUAACUGUAGAACUGCACUUGAAACUUCUAAUCUAGAGUAUGGGAGGGGGAGAUGGGAUUAGUGGUGGAGGGGUAAAAUCCGUAGAUAUCACUAGUAAUACCUAAAGCGAAGGCGAUCUCCUGGAACAUUACUGACGCUAAGGCGUGAAAGCGUGGUGAGCAAACAGGAUUAGAUACCCCGGUAGUC